CGGAGGGUGCUGCGGCGGCGGCUGCUGCGGCUGACGGCCACAGCACGGCGCGACGGCGAGCCGGCGGCCGUACGGCAGCGGUCUCUUCAGG
rnacentral:tRNA from 1 species